rnacentral:lncRNA from 1 species
UGCUUACAGUCAUGCUAUUUUUACUGCAGUGAAAGCAAAGGAAGGCAUGCAAGGCUGUGAGCACAGAUGCAGAAGGAGAUUAAGAGGGGACAAGGACUGCCAGGUUCCCCAUAGCAGCGAUGCUGAUGGUGGGCACUGCAUCUCUGGGCAGUGCCGCUCCUCAGUCCCGAGAAUCCGGAGCCCGUGCCAGGAAACAGAGAAAGGGAAGUGGCUGUGCGGCCCUGUUCUUUGGGUGUCUUGGCUUUAAAUGCUAUUUCUCCUCUUGCCUGGACAAGAGGAGUUCCAAUGGGCUGCAGUAAAACUCCAGUUUCACGUUGCUAACUUCAGAAAUCUAUGAAGAGAAAAAAAAAUGAAGACAACCAACCAACCCAACCUUCUGUAUUAGCUACUCUGUUUCAUUUGCAAUGACUUCAGAUGUGGAAUUAUUAAUACUAAUGAAUUUCACAGGCUGCACUUUGGCCCAUGAAUUUGCACCAGUUCACGCUUUGGAAGGGCAGUCACUUAAGUACUAGCAGACCCAGUCUUGGAGUAUCACUGUCACCCAGCUGGGCACUUGGCUGCUGACACACAGCCAACACAUGUCACCUGGCCACACUGC